CCUUGCAACCAACUAUAAGAAAAUUUUAUAGGCUUCCAGAACUUCUUGUUCCACUCCAGCGCGUCCUUCACAAUUGCGGAGUAGGUGCGGAAGAGGAGAUGGAUAUAGAUUAAAAUAGUCAUAAUGAUGAUGAAGGUGCAGAAAAGUGACAAGACCAGAAGAAGAAACUGCUGGCCCUGUGUCAACCCGGCGAAAAUGGUUAAAAAAGGAAAAUUCAAUUCUCCAGUGGCGGCAUCUUUCUUUUUUUGAGAAUUCUCGUCGAUUCUUCCCCUCGUUCCUUUUCAAUCUUGAGCGCGGCCUGAAAAGUCUUUUAUUUCAUUCAAAGCGGAUUUGGUCCCCGGGUUCAGAUUUUGUUCUUUCUGCAAAUCCUGAAUGAGUUGAAAUUCCUUUACUUUAUCGGUUACUUUCAAGUCGUUUUCCACCGCUUCCCGCACCUCCGCGAUUGGCUCCCCUUCAACAAGAGCGGCCUUUCUCUGCUGCAAAUUCUCUAGCAAGAGUUCCUCUUCCCGUUCUUGCAGGGCGGAAGGUUCUUUUGACGACUUAGCGGAAGGUUGCCCCAGUUCCUCAGGUCCUGGUUGGGCCUCCGAGGAGGACAAAGAAUCGUAACCUUUUUCUUUUUCUUCCGCGACGGAAGACUUGAUGUCGUCUUUUUCACAGGAGAUCGAGGAAGGUGAAGAACUAGAAUCUCCUGAUUCGUUACAGGAAUAGAAGUUAUCCUCGCCUACUGCCUUAACCAUAAAAAUCAUAGCCGAGGCUAGACCCCCGGAGCACCCCAGCAUUCGUAAAGCAAAAGAAAAUGCUCGACUUUCUAUAUAAAAUCCAACCUUUUUCAAGAAAUCCUAUAAAUAUAUCAAUCAAACCUAGUAUCAUAAAAAAAGAGAAGGGAUACCAUAAAAAUUAUGACGCUCGCAGAUAGAAAAUGGCGCAUUCCAGAAGAUAACGGGCGAAGGAGAUUCAUGAUCUUCUAUUUUUUUCUAUAGUAAAGAGAGAAUGCCGCUUUUAAAAGAAAAAGAAAGAAAUCAAGGAAGAAUCGAACUUCCAUAGCUGUGUUAGCUAGGCUACCCGCCUGAUCAUCUUUCUUUUACACAAAUUACUGGAUCACAUCUUUCCUAUGCCGUUUUCGGGUCAGCUCUUUCCUAUCUCAUGUUGCUAUUUUAGAUGUCAUUGCCGUUACGUUACAUAUGUUAUUUUCUUUGACCCGGGUAAGGGAAAGGCAGAAAGGUUGGUUGCGAUGGUCAAUUCGAAGAUAUAGAAACUGUUCCGUAAGAAAAAAACAGAAUAGAUUAUGGUUUAUACCUUCUAUCUCCUUGCUAUCUCCAUUGGUGGAAUGAGGGGUAUCGGAAGAUCUAUGCUUACCUUAGAUAGAGGAGUUACUCUAAUAGCUUAUGGGAGCUACUUGGCACGCUUGGCCCUAGAUUAUAUUAGGAUACUCACUAGCAUAGCAGACUGGCUAUCCAUGCUAUACAGACAGCUAUUCUAUGGUGCAUAGACUAAUGCUUACCUUCUUGCUUAUUCCUUCUUCUUUUUUUCACUUUUUUUUUUGAUAAUAUGGAGUUUCCCAAUCGCAGUUGGACUAAUCUCCCCACCCCGGACUAGGCUUAUGCACAGGCUCAGUCUAAGACAUGGCUCCACGCUGAAAUGUGCGACCCGUGGCCACCACGCCCAUUUCUAAGUUUAACAAAUGUUGCUAGCUGGGAUCGAACUAAAGACGUCCGGGUUUACGGCUCGCCCCCAAUCAAUCCUUAACCGCUACGCCAAAUGCUAGUGGUUUCUUGCUUAUUCCUUCCCUCUAACCAUAGAACCAGCUUGCUUGCCACUUGCAAAGAAAGAGCUUUCUAGAGUCAAGUAAGGAGAGAUUCACUAUCUUCUGAAUCAUGCCUUACCUGAAUGCCAGUCUUUCUUGUCCUUAUUAUAAGAUUCAACUCUGACUAAGCAAAGAAUCCAGAUAGGAGAUUGAGAGAGUGAUAUCCUAAGUAAUGAGAUGAGCUUGAUUACGCUCCUGAUUGACUCUUAGUUAUUGAAAGCGCUGAUGAACGAUCUUCCUUAUUUUAAGAGGAUGUAACUCGGAUUCUUCCUUCACUCUUGACGGCUUAGCCGUGGAAGUCUAAGAGCGAGUACCUCUCAUUCCUAUAAAAGCAAACUCCCUUGAACAACUGCUUUAUAGUAGAGAUUUCCAGUGCAGAAGAGGAAAACUUCUCGUUGUUGAGCUACCUCAUUCUCUUCCUGUUGAGGUGGGAAACCCCUCAUCCCUUGGUUGUCAAUCAGUUUGAAACCCCUGGUCGAGCUUCUUUCUUCUGCUUCUUCUGUUGAUUUCCCAGUUUUGGUGGAUUCUCUGAUAUCUGGUCUUGCAGCUCUUCUCUUUUCCACUCAGAAGCUGGUAUUCAAUUAGCUUAGCUGGGGAGGAAAGAACGGAAGCAAAGAAGAAGGUNNNNNNNNNNNNNNNNNNNNNNNNNNNNNNNNNNNNNNNNNNNNNNNNNNNNNNNNNNNNNNNNNNNNNNNNNNNNNNNNNNNNNNNNNNNNNNNNNNNNNNNNNNNNNNNNNNNNNNNNNNNNNNNNNNNNNNNNNNNNNNNNNNNNNNNNNNNNNNNNNNNNNNNNNNNNNNNNNNNNNNNNNNNNNNNNNNNNNNNNNNNNNNNNNNNNNNNNNNNNNNNNNNNNNNNNNNNNNNNNNNNNNNNNNNNNNNNNNNNNNNNNNNNNNNNNNNNNNNNNNNNNNNNNNNNNNNNNNNNNNNNNNNNNNNNNNNNNNNNNNNNNNNNNNNNNNNNNNNNNNNNNNNNNNNNNNNNNNNNNNNNNNNNNNNNNNNNNNNNNNNNNNNNNNNNNNNNNNNNNNNNNNNNNNNNNNNNNNNNNNNNNNNNNNNNNNNNNNNNNNNNNNNNNNNNNNNNNNNNNNNNNNNNNNNNNNNNNNNNNNNNNNNNNNNNNNNNNNNNNNNNNNNNNNNNNNNNNNNNNNNNNNNNNNNNNNNNNNNNNNNNNNNNNNNNNNNNNNNNNNNNNNNNNNNNNNNNNNNNNNNNNNNNNNNNNNNNNNNNNNNNNNNNNNNNNNNNNNNNNNNNNNNNNNNNNNNNNNNNNNNNNNNNNNNNNNNNNNNNNNNNNNNNNNNNNNNNNNNNNNNNNNNNNNNNNNNNNNNNNNNNNNNNNNNNNNNNNNNNNNNNNNNNNNNNNNNNNNNNNNNNNNNNNNNNNNNNNNNNNNNNNNNNNNNNNNNNNNNNNNNNNNNNNNNNNNNNNNNNNNNNNNNNNNNNNNNNNNNNNNNNNNNNNNNNNNNNNNNNNNNNNNNNNNNNNNNNNNNNNNNNNNNNNNNNNNNNNNNNNNNNNNNNNNNNNNNNNNNNNNNNNNNNNNNNNNNNNNNNNNNNNNNNNNNNNNNNNNNNNNNNNNNNNNNGAGAAAUGAUAGAAGGAAGGAUACCCAUGAGACGCGAGGCAAUAAUCUUAGAAAUGCAUUUAUAGGUGGUAUUACAACAAGAUAUUGGUCUAUAGUCAUUCAUGGAAGAUGGGUUGGCAUUUUUGGGAACAAGAGCAAUGGUCGUAGCAUUAGUGCCUCUGAAGAGACAUCCUUGACGGAAAAAAGAUUGAAUGGUAGCAGUGAAGACCGGGCCCACAAUAUCCCAAGUAAGAAUAAAAAAGUUAACAUUAAAAUCAUCCGGGCCAGGACUCUUAUUCUUUUUCAUGUGCUUCAAAGUAUUAAGAAUCUCCUCAUCGAUAACAUCCCGUUCAAGCAACAGAACUUGUUGAGAUGAUAUCUUGGAAGAGACCACAGAUUCCAGGUUUGGGAUAGCUUGAUCAACAGCAGGACUGCCCAGCAGAGAGCGGAAAUGGUCAACAACAAUACCAUGGACAGCUGAGUGACCAUAACACAAAUCCCCCACAGCAUUCUCAAUAGAUAGGAUUUUAUUAUGGUUCCAUCUGUUCUUGAUUUGGUUGUGGAAGAACCCAGUAUUCUUGUCCCCUUCCUUAAGCCAUUGUAUCCUAGACUUCUGUUUCAGAAGCUUUUCUUCACAUAGAGGUUAGCCCAAAGGGUGGCCGAUUGGGACUGCUGGAGAGAGAGGAGGAGAGGAUCGGUAGGGUUUAAAGUAAUAGCCUGCUGCGUAGCAUGAAGAAGAGCUCUAGAUUUUUCAGCAUUGGAAUGGAGAUUACCAUUAACCCGAUUUAGACAUAUUAAGGCCUUCUUGACAGCUUUGAGCUUGCCCGAAAGAAUUUGCAAUGGGUCCCCAGAGGCAGGAGUAUUCCAAGCAUAUUGUACAACUUCCAUGAAAUUUUCUAAACCAGCCAUGAAAUUGAAAAACUGGAAUGGCUUCGGAAGGCGGGGAAUGGCCAGGCCAAGAUUCACCACCACAGGGCAAUGGUCAGAAAGCUCCUGAGGAGUAAAAAAGGCCUGAGAAUUAAGGAAAGAAUCCAGCCAUAAGUGAUUAACCAUAGCUCUGUCCAGCUUUUUGUAGGUCGGAUUAGCUAACUGAGAGUACCACCAAGUGAGGAGAGGACCAGAGGCUCUCAGGUCCACCAAGGAUAAAUCAGAGAGAAGGUAUUUGAAGUCUUGCAUGCCAUAAUCCCAAGAGAUAGCACCUCCAUUGAUUUCAGAUAGAGAUUAGACAACAUUAAAAUCACCCAGAAGAGACCAAGGCAGGUUUAUGUUCUGAGCAAUAUCCCGAAGAUCCUUCCACAAAGCCUUCCUCUCAGUAGGAGUGCUGAGCCCGUAAAUAAUGGUAACAAAAAAUUGGGAAUCAAGACUAAUAGAGGAGACAAAACAGUGUAUAAAUUGAGAAGACGAAGAUAUUAUAUUGACUUUCCAAAAAAUAGGAUCCCAACCAACCCAAAUUCUACCAUUAUUAUGAAAGUCAUAAUUAAAAUGCCAUUCCCAGUGUUUACAAAUAGACUUUGAGAUUGCAAUGGCCUUAGUGCUUUUGACUCUAGUCUCUAUAAGACCAACAAAAGAGAGACUAUGUUUAACAAUGAGAGCCUGGACACUAGCCUGCUUGGGAGACAUAUUAACACCUCUAAUAUUCAUAGAGCAAAAAGAUAACAUAAAAGAUAGGAAAAUUUAAGUAGGGGACCUGAGGCUCCCCCCUCCUUUGAUUUUUUUCUUAGAAAUUUGACCUGUAUCAGCAGAAGUUUUGGCCUUAUGCUUAAGGUCACGGAAAUCCUUCUCAUCAAUUUGUCUUAACUUGGUCACAAGGGGGUUGGGCGAGGGAGUGUUAUCUGUAUCCGAAAAACCAUCAGAGGGCGUAAUGAGGUUAAAAGAGUUAGGGCUAGGCAACACCAAGGGGAGGGGGGAAGAUGAGGUGCCAGCAAGCUUGGGACCUUUAGACACCAACGUCCAGCUAUCCGAAGGCAAGCUAUGGGGAGUGUUGCUGUUAUCUGGGACAAGUUAGUGUGGAAUAAGGUUAUGGUCCCAAGAUAUUCGUUCAUUCUCUGGUUGGCUUUUCAUCGAGGGUUGCAUACUAUGGACAAGCUGCUCAAUUUUGGGAUGUAAGUAAAUCCUACUUGUGUGCUAUGUUCUACUAAGGCGGAAACAUUUGAUCACAUGUUCUUCAAUGUGAUUACUCGUUUAGAGUACUUCUUUCUGUCCUUAGACAUUGUGGGUGGAGGGGUUUUAGUAGGAGUUGGAGUUCUUUAACAGAAUAUCUAAUCCAUUACUCUAAUCGUAAUUUUCAUCAUAGCUUGCUUCACCUGGGGUUUGGGGCUGUUGUCUACCGUAUUUGGAAUGAGCGUAAUGCAAGGGUCUUUAGUAAUAAAUCUUGCCUGGUUUGUAGCCUUGUUGCUGAUAUUCUCCAUAUGCUUAAAUGCAAACUUCACACAAACUCUAAAUUCCAGAAAUUAAAGAAUAGAUCUAGGUUCUGACAGUUAAUUUUAACUAAUGUUUAACUUUCUCGGGUUGCUGAGAUUCCUAGUCUCAUGAUGGGUUUUGCUGGUCUGGUUUGCAAUAUGGCAGUUUAAUUUAGGUAGCUGGCUGGUAGUGCUGCUGGAAUGCUUGCUUAUUUUUCUGCUGGGGCUUAAUUGGGGCUUGGUUUAUCCCUGUGGUAUGUAGUUCUGUCUGCCUCAGAAGAGCUGGUAUUGUUUGGAUAGGGGUGCUAGCUGCUCAGUUGCUGCCGGUGUCUGGCUAGCUAAAGCACUGCUGGUUCCUUAUGGUUUGGUUUCUGCUAUGUUUAUGGCUUUGCUUCUUUCUGGAUUGUUGCAGUUUUAGUUAAUGGUGUCUGUUUGCUUGUCCUAGUGAGAUUUGGGGUAGUUUUGGACCUGGGUGUCCUUUUGUAGGUGGUUGUUGGGUUUGGGUCGGCAGUUGUGGGUUUUGGCUGUUGGUCCUGCCUCUUUGCUUGGUUUGGUCUGGCUUAUUUUGGGCUCCUCUGCUAUAGUGUUUCUUAUAAUCUGAGGGGUUUGUGCCUUCUGCUUCUAGUUUAACUGUUGGGGCUGGGUCUUCUACAGUUGACUGCUGGGGCUUGGUCUACUGCAGUUGACUGCUGGCUUCAUGGUCACUGCUGUAGUUGACUGCUGCUAAUUUUCACUGCUAUCUGGUUUGUCACGACUGCUGCUAUGAUUUGGUUUGUGGACUGCAGCCGGAUGGUGUGGUCUGGGGGCUGCUAUUCUUGUGGUAUGCUAUGCUAGGUCUGCUGGGUUUGCUUUGGCGUCCUGGUUCUUGGUAGGCGCUGCUGAGCUUCAAUGCUGUAGCAGAUGCCUCUCUUCUUGUGGUUUCUUUUGUAGUGCUUCUGCUAGGCUGGUUCUGGUAUGUGGUCUGCUAGCUUGAGUAGCUGCUGAUGACUGUUAGUGAUGCUGCUCUGCUGCUACUGCUUCUAUAAUCUGGUUUGUCCGCCUUUUGGACUAGUGUGUUGUUUCUCUUUGUUGAUCCUGUCUGCUAGUUCAAAUUGUUGUUUCUCUUCGUUGGGACUUUGCUGCGUUUGUGCGCUCAUAACUGCCUCUUGAUGUUCCUUGUUUCCUUUGUAACAAUGAUAGCUGUUGUUACUGUAAUAGUUUCAUUUGGAACAGCUCAGUGGAGGAUCACGAUGUAAAAUGUUUUCUCUCUAGGAAAUUCUCUCUGCCUUCUUUCUUGAUCUGGAUCCCUUCCUCUUAGGGCUCCCGAUCCUGCUCGUUUUUUUUUCCUCCGCGUUAUCAUUUCUCUCUCUAGGUCUCCUCUUCUCUGGUUUAGAUGGUCGACUUCCCUCAUCAUUCAGGGGGUAACUCCUUAAGCAGUCCUUCGGAGGACUUAUUUGUUGAGUAUGGGGUUUCAAAACCCAACUCUCUAGUUAUAAUGGAGUCGGGUAUGGAGGAAUCCUUUUCGAUCCCAAAAGAGGUCCGGCUGAGCUCUGUUGAGUCUUCUGAAGCUAAUAGUUUUGCUGAUGAAAACAUAGGGCUUCAACUUGGCACACCCUUGAGUGAGAUUUUUAAAGCUGCACAGAUGUUAUCACAAAAGGGGAGCAUCGAUGCUGCCGAUGAGCGUAAGAAAUGCAAUUCCUUGAUGGAUUUUAUAAAAGCACAGGGAUUUACCAUUCAGAAUGUGAAUGAAUUUGCUAGCAAAGGAAAGUCGGUCCGAAGGAUUGAUGAAUGUGACCUAUUUGAUUUAAGGUCUCAAAGAAUUCCCUGUUCUGGGUUAAGUUUAAAGGCCCCUAUGACUGCUGUGCUAGAAGAGGGCGAGCUGAGUACUCCUCUUAGUGCUGGUAAUUUGGUAAUGAAGGAGCCGAAAAUGAGGCAGUAAGGGCUAGCCAGGUUGUUCUGCCUGGGAUCCCUGAGCAAAUAUUACCUGAGCAAAUGUUACCUGAAAAAAAGUCCUGGAGUUCAGUUGUUGCGCAAGGUGAUCCUACACCCAGUUUAAAGCUAGAUUAUUACCCUCCUGCAAUUCCCUCUUCGGAAAACGGGGUAAUCCAAAUUAGGCCUCCUCCUGAGGUUCAUGUUCAGGGAAUUAAUCUGUGGAAUUCUUAUCUUGUGGGCAGUUUUCUUAAUGCCCGGUUUCCAUUUAAGCUUGUCGAAGGCACAGUCCAUACUCUUUGGGACAAGUAUGGUAUGCAAAAGGUUUUCUUGCAAGAUAAGGGAUUUUUUAUAUUCAAAUUUGGGAGCACAAAUGAGUGUGAUAACAUUCUUGCGCUAGGGCCGUGGUAUAUCUCCAAUAAGCUUCUUAGUCUCAAGCAAUGGAAGGAAGGGAUGGACUUCAAAUUUGAGUCAUGUACAAAGGCUCCAGUCUAGGUAAAAUGCCACAAUGUUCCAAUGUCUGACCUAUCCUCUGCUGGGUUAAGCUACUUAGCUAGUAGGAUUGGCCUUCCUCUCUUUGUGGACAAGAUUACUGAAAAGUUAGAACCAAUGGCCUUUGCCAGGAUUUGUAUUGAAAUAUCUUCUGGCAUACCUCUCCCUGAAUGUUUGGAAGUUUUUGUUAUGGAUGAGGAGAUACACUCUGAAAAAGCUGUUAUGGUAAAAGUGGAAUAUCAAAACAGACCUCAAUCAUGUGAUCACUGUAAGAGUUUUGGACAUACUCGUGUAAGGUGAACAAAUGCAAACUACAAGUGGGUUCCUAAAGGUCUAGCUCUUGCUUCUGAUUCUCGGUCUGAAAAGAAUGCGGUUGAUUCGAGCCUUAUCCCUUCACCUGACCGCAAAGCUUGCCCUGCCGAUAACUGGACUGUGGUAGAAAAGGGGCCCAGACAUAUAGCUCCUCCCCUGCGACCCGAGAAAGCUCUCCACCAGCCUUAUGAUGGGGAGUCUAAUUCCUUCGGCUUACUCUCCCCUGUGGCUGGAGUUAUGGCAGAUGUUUUUUCUGACACCGAUAUCACCCCCUCCCCAAUUCCCCUUGUGGGAAAGUUGAAGCAAGUUGAUGAAAAGGAAGUAAAAGACCUAAAGCAGAAAGCUAGGAACUUCCUAGAUCUAGGCCUAUCUUCCAAGAAAAAGAGUAAAGGAGGGGGGAGCUCUAAAUCCCCAACUUAACCAAAAUGUUAUGGUUAAUUUUUGCUCUAUGAAUAUUAGAGGUGUAAAUAGUAGGGCCAAGUAGGAUAGUGUUAAAGAUCUCAUAUGUAAAUUUUCUUUAUCUUUUGUUGGCCUUGUAGAAACUCGGGUCAAAGCUCCCAAAUCAAGUACUAUUGCUCAUGUUAUCUGCAGGAAUUGGAAUUGGCUUUUUAAUUAUGAUCACCAUGAUAAUGGGAGAAUUUGGAUUGGUUGGGACCCUAACAUUUGGAACAUCUCUGUUAUUGCUACUUCUUCUCAAUUUAUUCACUGCAUUGUGUUUUCUAUUGAACUUAAGGCUCAGUAUUUUGUUACCAUUGUUUAUGGUCUGAAUACCUCUACUGAAAGAAAGCUUCUUUGGAGGGAUUUGGGGUUAUUAAAAUCUUCAAUUGAUAAACCUUGGUGCUUGCUUGGGGAUUUCAAUGAAGUUUUGUCCCCCUUUGAGAUAAAUGGUGGCCUUGAGAUUUGGGAUAGCGACAUGCAAAACUUUAAAGAUUGCAUUGAGGGUUUGUCUUUGGUGGAUCUUAGGGCUGUUGGUCCAUGUCAUACUUGGUGGGAUUCUCGUAUUUCAGAUCCUAUCUAUCGUAAAUUAGAUAGAGUUAUGAUAAAUUCCAGUUGGAUGCAAGAAUUUCUUUGUCCUCAAGCUAUAUUUUCUCCUCGGGAUCUUUCAGAUCAUUGCCCGGCCAUAGUUCAUACUGGGCUAAAGUUGUCUCAUAUCCUUAAGCCCUUUCAAUUCUUCAAUUAUAUGUUGGGGUUGGAAAACUUCAACCAUGUGGUCUUCUCUGCUUGGAGUCAUCCUAUCGAGGGCGACCCUCUUCAAGUUCUUGUUGGAAAGUUAAAAUCGGUAAAUAGGGCUCUUAUUAGGCUAAACAAAUCAAUUGGCAAUCUCUCUUCAAAUGUGGCUCAAGCUCGGGCUAUCCUCCAUACUACUCAGCAUGCCAUCUCGACUAGGCCUUCUGACCCGUAUCUCUUAGAGUUACAGAAAACCUAAGCAAAAAACCUUUGGGAUGCUUAUACGUGUGAGGAGAAUCUUCUUAAGCAGAAAUCAAGAAUCCAAUGGCUAAAGGAGGGGGACAGAAAUACUGGGUUCUUUCAUAACCAGGUUAAGCACAAAUGGAACCAAAAUAAAAUAUUAUCCAUUGAAGAUUAUGAGGGGAAGCUUAAAUUUGGUCAUAUCGAGGUAAAGCAAAUCGAUGUGGAACAUUUUAGUGCUCUCUUGGGGACACCUGCUCCUUUAUGCAAUAGCAGCCUUCAAUCCCUGGCUUUAUUUUUUGUGAAUACGGUUACCCCUGUGGAUGCCAUGGCACUGAAUAGAGAGGUAACUGAGGCAGAAAUUUACAAUUCUUUGAAAUCCAUGAAGCAAAACAAAAGCCCAGGCCCGGAUGGUUUUAACGUAAAUUUCUUUAUCUCUUCUUGGGAUAUUGUUGGAAGGGAUUUCAUUUCUGCUAUCAAAUCCUUUUUCCAGCGUGGCUGCCUUCUAAGGGGGACUAAUUCAACUGCCAUUGCCCUAAUUCCUAAAGUAAAAAAUCCCACCUCAAUAAAUGAUUACAGACUUAUUUCCUGUUGCAAUACCACCUAUAAAGUUAUCUCUAGAAUUAUUGGGGCUAGACUUAAAGGGGUCCUGCCUAGGAUUAUUUCCUCUUGUCAAGCUGCUUUUGUCCCAGGGAGGAGUAUUGGUGAUAAUAUUCUUCUGGCUCAAGAGCUUUUUCGAAAUUACCAUAGACAUGCGGGUCCUGCGCGAUGUGCCAUGAAAAUCGAUCUCCAAAAAGCUUUUGACUCUAUCUCAUGGGAUUUUCUAUUCUUAGCAUUGAAGCUCUUCAAAUUUCCCCCAAAGUUCAUUUACUGGAUUAAAGCUUGUAUUACUACUUCAACAUUCUCUGUUAAAGUUAAUGGUGCCUUAUGUGGUUAUUUCAAAGGGGCAAAAGGUCUUAGGCAAGGGGACCCUCUCUCCCCUUACCUCUUUGUCCUUGUUAUGGAAGUCCUCUCACUCUUGAUCUUAAAAGAGACUGAAUCUUCCGAGUUUAAGUAUCACUGGAAAACAAAACAACUUCGCCUUACUCAUCUCUGUUUUGCUGAUGAUCUUAUCUUAUUCUGCCACGGGGAUUCCAGGUCGGUAAGUGUUAUGAAAGGAUGUCUUGACUUAUUCACCUCCAUCUCUGGGUUAAGGCUUAAUGCUUCAAAAAUCAUGUGUUUUGUCUCCAAUGUUCCCCCUGAUCAAGUUGCUUCCAUCAUCUCUGUAUUGGGAUUCCAGUUGGGUACCUUCCCUGCAAAAUUCUUAGGGGUCCCUCUUAUUACCACAAAGUUAAGUCUUGCAGACUGUGCUCCCCUCUUAGAAAAGAUCACAAAUCGUAUCGUCUCAUAGACCACAAAGUUUUUAUCCUAUUCUAGGAGACUUUAACUUAUUAAAUCUGUGAUUUUUGCUGUCCAAUCCUACUGGUCCACUCAUUUCAUCUUGCCUGGUGCUACUAUGAAGGCUAUUAAAAGCACUAUUAGUAGGUUUCUAUGGAAAGGCUCAUCUCUCCUGAAACAUGGAGCAAAAGUGGCUUGGAGCAAAAUCUCACUCCCUUUAUCUGAAGGUGGUCUGGGUAUAAAAUGUUUGGAAGACUGGAAUCAAGCCUUAAUAUUACUGCGCUUAUGGAAAAUUGUAAUUUUUUCGCCCCCAUCGCUAUGGGCCAAUUGGGUGAAAACAUUCUCAUUAAAGGGGAAGCAUUUUUGGUGUAUGCCGGUUCCUAAUGAUUCUUCAUGGAUUUGGUGGAAAAUUCUAAACUUACGUCCUAUUGCUUUGUAGCACGUCAAAUAUACCAUUGGGAGAGGAAAUCUCACUAAGCUAUGGUUUGACCCUUGGCUCUCUUGCAAGCCUUUAUCUGACUCUACAUCAUCCUCUUUGAUUUCUAAUUCUGGUUUGGGGCCUAAAGCUCUGGUCAGUAGUAUUAUUUACAAUUCACUCAAGUGUGUGAGGUGAGGUGAGGUGAGGAUGUUUCUCUCUCUAGGAUUUUUCCUCUGCCUUCUCUCUACUUUCUGCUUCCUAGUCAGCCCUCCCUUUGCCCCCUCCUAGCUUUUGUACCCUUCCCCUAACUUUCUUGUUUUUCCUCCUCUCUUGUUUUCCCCCCUUUUUUUCCCUUUUUGGUUUUUGUCCCCCUUUCUUCCCCGUUACCCACUCCACCUACUUUUUCUGUUAACCUUUCUUUCCCUUUCAGUCUUCCUGCUCCUCUUUCUCUCUCGGUUUUCUAGAUUCUUUGUUCUCCCCCUCCAGCUCCUUCCUGCAUGCCAUGGUGGACCACCAUCAUCUCUCGGCUGGGAACUCUGAGAGCAGUCAAUCUCAUGACCUUUUUUCCGAAUUCGGUGUUUCAAACCCUGGCUCUCCCAUAACUUCGGUUGCUAUGGCGGAGUCUGAGCCUAAUCCUUCUAAUUUCUCCAUCAGUUCUGAUGAAUCUGCUGCUAUUGAGUCUCAAUUAGGGGUAAAUUUAGGUCCAGCCUCUUCUUCGGCUACCCAAGAUAUUUUUAAAGCGGCUCACUAUUUCUCUAUCGCUGGCCGAGAAGAAGCGCUUGCUAAGAGACAGAAAAAUGCCAAGCUCAUGGAUUACAUCAAUGCGCUUGGUCUUCCUCUUGAUGAUGUUAACAACCUUUCCUCCAUCGGAACUCUUGCUGCUCUCGCCAAUGCUCGUAAGGUGCUAGAUUCUUGCCCUGUUCUGGGUAGGUCCUCUCCCAAGGCCGCUCUUAGCCCUUCCAUUCCCCCUGCUUGCCCUGGCGUGAAUAGUCCUUUGGUCCAAGUUUUCUGUGUUGGUGAGCAGUCUCAGCCUUCCUUGACUUCUGUUGUUCCCCAGAUUGUUAGUUUACAGCAGAGCGGUUUAGAGCCUCCUCAUCCUUCUCCUGUUGCCUUGGACAAUUCCCAUCCCCCUUCUCCAGCGGCUGCCGUUGGAAUUUCUGCACCCCCUAAGUCUUGGAGCUCUGUUGUCACUAACUCUGCCACUGAGAAAAAUCUGGGGUUAAGUUUCUUCCCUCCUAUCUCCUCGGUUGGGAGUGUAACUGUUACCCCUCCUGUUGAAGUCUUAAAGCUUGGUCUUAACAAAUGGUCUACUAGUCUUGUGGGCCAUUUCAUCCACUCGAAAUUACCUUUUAGGUUGGUUGAAUCAUCUGCUAAGAAAUUAUGGGGNNNNNNNNNNNNNNNNNNNNNNNNNNNNNNNNNNNNNNNNNNNNNNNNNNNNNNNNNNNNNNNNNNNNNNNNNNNNNNNNNNNNNNNNNNNNNNNNNNNNNNNNNNNNNNNNNNNNNNNNNNNNCCACUCUCUUACUGGACGAAAGAGGGGUUAAGUUAUCUGGCUAGUGCUGUAGGUAGGCCCCUGUUUGCUGAUGAUAUGACCUCUAAACUGGAGCCUAUGAGCUAUGCCCGUAUUUGUAUUGAGAUAGAUGCCCUAUCUACAUUCCCUGCAUCUAUAAAUGCCGUUGUGUUUGAUGGCAAUGAUGUAGUGGAAGAAACUGUUGCAGUUAAGGAGGAGUACUAGAGCAGGCCCCCUUCAUGCUCUGUUUGUAAAUGUUUUGGACAUUCUCUUGCUAAGUGCCCUAAUUCCAAUAUGCAGUGGGUUCCCAAGGCCUCCGCUAGUGCUUCCGUAUUUACUAUUCCCAAGGAUGCCAAGGCUCCUUCUUCUUUGGAUCCCCCAGAAGCUGAAGGUGCCUGGACCACAGUUUCUAAAGGACCUAAAACAUCUUUCCUUCCUUCCGCCGACCCUUUGUUAGUUGCGAAAGCAAAUUUCUUCACUCCCAUUGCUUCCGCUUUAGCCCCUGGAGAGGAGUCUGAGUCCCCUAUUCCUUACAACCCCCUGGUGGACAAGGUGAAGCAAGUUGAUGAGAUAGAGCGCAAGGAGUUGAAACAUAAGGCUAGGCUUGGUAAAGAGCCUCUCCAGAAUUCUAAGAAGAGAAAUAAGGGUCCAAGGGGGUCUUCCCCUCCUUAAUUGUGCUUGCUCCCCCUUUUUUGUUAAUGACAUAUUUUUGUUCCUAUAAUGUCAGGGGUUUAAAUAAGAAACCUAAGCAGGCUUUUGUUCGCAACUUUCUAACUAGCAACCAUAUCUCUUUUGUGGGGCUUAUUGAGACCAGAGUUAAAGUUCCUAAGGCCCCUAGAAUCUCAAGGGCAAUCUGUCGUAAUUGGGUUUGGGUCCAUAACUAUGACUAUCAUUCGAAUGGCAGAAUAUGGGUGGGCUGGGAUCCUAAUAUUUGGAGAGUAUAUACUCUUUUCCAAUAUACUCAACUGUCCCAUUUUAGGCUUUUAUCUCUCCACGAUAGCACUCCAAUCUUGGUCUCUAUUGUUUAUGGCUUGAAUUCUGUGUCAGAAAGGAGGCAGCUAUGGGCAGAACUAGAAUCCUUGUCCUCUCCUGACACUUGGUGUAUCCUGGGGGACUUCAAUACUAUCAAGAGUGUUUCCGAAGCUGAAGGGGGAGACUCGUCCUGGAAUAUUGGAAUAUCUGACUUCUUCGAUUGCCUGGAAAAUAUUGGGGUAGAAGAUAUUAGAGCUAUUGGUCCUCAACACACAUGGUGGAACUGUCAAGUCAAUAAUCCUAUUUACAGGAAACUUGAUAGGGCUUUGGGCAACUCUUCCUGGUUCUCCUCAAUGCCGGAUUCUCAAGCCACGUUUGGUCCUAGAGGUCUUUCAGACCACUGCCCGGUUAUUCUUAAUACUGGCCUCCAUAGUAGGAGACUCAGGAAGCCUUUCCAAUUUUUUAACUUCUUGCUUGAAUUGGAUGGGUUCAAUUCUGCUAUUUCAGAAUGUUGGAAUUCUAGUGUUCGAGGGAAUGCUUUUUUUAUCUUCAAUGAGAAGUUGCGUCUCACCAAGAGGGCCCUUGUGUCAUUAAACUCUUCGAAUGGAAAUCUGAUGAGCAAUGUUAGCUACUUGCAAGACCAAUUGCCUUCAGAUUUCUCUUCAGGCCGAUCCUCUUAAUGCUCUUUUGCUAUCCCAAGAAUCUAUAUGCUCCAAGUCCCUAUGGAAUGCCUUGGCCCUUGAAGAAUCUCUCCUUCUUCAGAAAUCUCGUGCGGUUUGGCUUGCCCAGGGUGAUAAGAAUUCGAAAUUCUUUGCUAAUGUUAUUAAGAACUACUGGAAUCAUACCAAGAUCCUUUCUAUCUUCAACAGCUCUGGUGCCCUUAUUGAAGACCAGUUGGGUAUUCAGCAGGUGGCAGUGGAUUAUUUUCAGGACUUGUUGGGAACUUCUCCUUGUACCUACCCUGGUCAUGAUGAGCUUAAGAAUAUUGUUACCAAAAGGAUCUCCCUCGCCCAGGCCUCUACUCUGUCUGCUCCUAUUCUAGACGUUGAAAUCCUCGAGGUGCUUCAGUCUAUGAAGAAGAAUAAAAGUCCCGGCCCUGACGGUUUCAACGUUAACUUCUUCAUUCAUUGUUGGGAUUUGGUAGGCCAUGAUUUCUCUAAGGCUGUUCAUUCCUUUUUCCUUACUGGGCACCUUCCUGGUGGAGUCAACUCUACAGCCAUUGCCUUGAUUCUGAAGACUGAAAACCCUUCCUACAUGUCCGAUUUCAGACCAAUCUCCUACUACAAUACAAUAUAUAAAUGUAUAGCAAAAAUCCUUGCCAAUAGGCUCAAGUGUGUUUUGCCUUCUCUUAUUGAUCAUGCCCAAUCUGCUUUCAUCUCAGGAAGAAGUAUUAGUGACAAUAUUCUUCUCGCACAGGAACUCUUUAGGAAUUACCAUCGACUCUCAGGCCCUGCACGCUGUGCUCUUAAAAUCGAUAUCCGUAAAGCUUUUGACACUAUCGACUGGGGAUUUCUUUUGGAUCUGCUGAGCCUCCUCCAGUUUCCUCCUAUUUUUAUCCACUGGAUUAAAGGUUGUAUCACUACACCUAUGUUCUCGGUCAAAAUUAAUGGUGCUCUUGCUGGCUAUUUUAAGGGUGCAAGAGGACUUAGGCAUGGUGAUCCCUUAUCUCCAUACCUGUUUAUCCUUGCAAUGGAAGCAUUAUCCAUGAUUAUCUCUAAGGAAACUCUACUACCCGAUUUCAAAUUUCACUGGAAAGCCGAGCCUUGUAAAAUUACGCAUGUAUGCUUUGCUGAUGAUGUUCUUCUUUUCUGUCAUGGGGACUUGACUUCGAUUUCUAUUAUCCACUCUUGUAUUCAAUCCUUUUCCUUGUACUCAGGCCUUAUUCCCAAUGCUCUUAAAAGCAUGUGCUUUCUCGCCAACGUUCCAAAUGAUGCCAAGGAGAGUAUUUACCAGAUUUUGGGAUUUCCGAUAGGUGUUUUGCCAAUCAGGUUUCUUGGGGUCCCCCUAAUCUCCUCUCGUCUCUCUCACUCUGAUUGUCAGCCUUUGAUUCAAAGAAUUACAGGCCGGGUUUCCUCUUGGACCUCGCGAUCCCUUUCCUUUGCUGGUAGAGUGCUUUUAAUCAGAGUAGUGCUUUUUGCUAUCCAGUCUUAUUGGGCAGCCCAUUUUAUCCUUCCUAAAUCGGUCUUGAGAGCUAUUCAAUCUAUUCUUUGUAGAUUUCUAUGGAAAGGUUCUUCUCUUCUUAGCCAUGGCUGUAAAGUAUCUUGGAAAGAUUUAGCCCUCCCUUUCGAUGAAGGCGGUCUAGCCAUCAAAAAUCUCACUGAUUGGAAUUCGGCUCUCAUCAUUCUCCAUCUUCUUAAGGUUAUUUCACCUUCUCCAACCUCCUUGUGGGCUAAGUGGGUCAAUUCUACUGUGCUUGCUCGACAUAAUUUCUGGCAUGUCUCUAUUCCCGCCGACUGUUCUUGGAUUUGGCGUAAAAUUCUUAAAUUACGUCCCACAGCUCUUAAUUUCCUUCAUUACUAAGUUGGAAAUGGAAAUUCCUUCAGUCUAUGGCAUGAUCCGUGGUUGAAUGGUCAAGCCAUUAACCCAUCUGCGUCGCUUCUCUACAAUACCAGAAUUCCGGUGAAUGCCCGUAUUUUCGAUAUCGCAACACUGGGUGCUUGGUCAUUACCCUCUAGCAACCACCACGAGGUUAUGAAAUUUUGGAGUUGGUUUGAUUCUAUCCCUGCUCCCUCGACCUCUGAGGAUAGAAUUUUAUGGGGUUCUAGUUAGAUUAAAAUAGUUAAAGCCUCCAUUAUUUAGAAAUCUAUUAGAUCAUCCGCUCAGAAGGUACCUUGGGCUCAACUGCUAUGGCAUCCUCUUCACAUUCCUCGGUACUCUUUUACCCUUUGGCUGGCCUUACGUGGCAGACUACCUACUAAUGAUAGAUUUUUAUCAUACUUGAGUUUUCGUCCUCUAAAAUGCCCUUUCUGCGCAACUCAUGAUGAAACUUUUUCCCACCUAUUUUUCGAAUGUAACUAUUCAUCAUCUGCCUUCUCCUCUGUUCUGGUUGUUGGAGGAUGGAAUAACGUUCCAAUGAGGUGGGAUGACCUCGUUAACUUCGUUAUCCAAUUUAGUGGAAGUAACACUAGGUCCAAUAUUCUUAAGCUUGCAUUGGCUUCUACCGUGUACAAACUUUGGGCAGCUAGGAACUCCUUUGUCCAUGAUCAGAUCAAAAAGCCUUUGAGUGUCGUGGUCAGGGAUAUUUUGAAUGGCAUCAAAUCAAGGCUUUCUUCGUCUUCUAAAUUCCUUUUAGCUGCUCAGAGAAAUCCUACUCUCAGUGUAUGGUUGUAGUCCAGAUGUUUGGGAGUUGUAGUACAGUUGAGAUUUGUUGAUGCUCACUUUGAUUUGCCGCGACUCUGAGUGCAGUGUGAUGAAGUUGUGUGGCGUGGUCUGUUAUUAGCUCAUCUGGUCAGUGUGUGGCUAUAGUCCAGAUGUUUGGGAGUUGAGGUACAGCUGCGAUUUGAUGCUACUCGCUCAACUAGCUUGUGUUGCAGCUGAGUUAUUGCCACAGCUAGGGAAUUGUUAUAGCUUUUAGCUGUUGCGGUUAUGCUGAGCUAAGGGUCUGCUGGUUAUGUUUUCUUCUUGAUUACUUCUUGUUUACUACAUGUUUAAUUCCUGUUUUGAACUUGCUGAUAUGGAUGGAAAGUUAGAGUUUUUGGGAAGCUUUGAAGCUGGGAUCUCCAUGCUAUACCGGAGGUGGAAAUUUCUGUUAUGAUUGACUUAACAGUAUUGCUCCUUUAAUCAAUCUGGGUGGGACGUGGCUGGGACCGCUGAUCUGUUUGGGUCUGCCAUUCAAUAAUAGUUUGGUUCUCGGUUUGGGCUGAUAUUUUGUUAGCUUCGGUUCUUCAACUAGCAGCUAUUUUUGUGUUAGUCAUAGAGCUGGCUUGGGCUGCCUGCUGGGCUAAGCGUAAUGGAGAUGCUGAACUUAUCGUGUUGGGUUUGUUCGGUCUGGUUAUGGUUGGUUGGUCUUUUGGGUUGCAGAGCAGCCGGCUUUUUGGCAACUUAACUUGGCUGCUCUUGUCCAUGUUUCUUCUUCUAGUUGGCAUGUUUCUUAUUUGGUUGUUAGACUAUCUGCUUGCUUCAGCUUAUGAUUGUUUUAUAUUACGAACUUGUACUUUCGUUUGAUGUGAUUGUUAGUCUUUAGUUGUUCCUGAUGGGGGUUGUCCCAUGGGUUCAUUGUGAAACUUCUGAGGUAUGCCCCUUUGCGAUUGUUUAAUCUCUCAUUCCUUUCAAUCUUAAACAAAGAAUUAGCGGGAAAAAAAAAAUUAUUUGCAAUUCAAUUUGGCAUCUUCCGGCCUCAAAUUAUUAUACUGUUAUGGAAUUUCGAAGGAAUUUUGACAUCUCAACGCACUGUAACUCUGCUACUUCGGACACUAUUCAGUGGGAUGAUACUCAGUCUAGUAAGGUAACAACUUCAUCUAUUUGGAUCUCCAUUAGACAAAGAGGACCUCAUGUGCUUUGGUCUAAGCUGGUUUGGCACAAAUUUCUCCCCCCUCGUCUUUCGUUUAUUCUUUGGCUUGCAUUUCAAAAUGGAAUGCGCACCAUGGAUAGGCUUCUAGCCUAUGGUUUAAUGGUUAAUCCUGUCUGUACUCUAUGCAACGCCCAAGAUGAAUCCUUUAACCAUUUGUUUUUUCAAUGUGGGUUUUCUUUUCAAUUGUUAGUAUCGGUGUUAAGGCAUUGUGGAUGGAAGGGUAGUGCUAGGAACUGGUCUUCAAUUACCAAUUACAUGAUUUCCUGCACUUCCUCCACUGUUCAUCAUGGUAUCCUCCACUUGGGGUUUGCAAAUGUUGUUUACCACAUCUGGCAUGAACGUAACUCUCGGAUCUUUGCAAAUAAGUUAACUCCUAUCCGAACAAUUGUACGUGACAUCAUGCACUCAUUAAAAUUCAAACUUCAUGCCACCGUAAAGUUUCAAAGAGUAAAAACUUAUCCUUGGUUUAGUCAUUUAAAUUUGAGUUAAUGGAAGGUGCUUAUUUUGAAGACAGCUGGUAUUGGUCGCUUCGAGUUGCUGGUAUCCUGGUGCAGACAUCUGGUCUGUUUUGGCUGCUAUUGCUGCAGGUGGUUGGGUCCAGCUGAUUUCUGACAUGUGUUGGUAGGCUGAUUCUGUGUUGAGUAGAUGAAUCUGUCUGUUGUAUGUUGCGUGUGUAUUGCCUGGUCUAGCUGAUUUCCUUUUGAUGAUGUAUGUUGCGUGUGUAUUGCUGCUGUGUUGAUGGUGUACUGUUUGGGCUGCAGUUUCUACUGCUUGGAAUGUCAUUUCGGUUUUGGUUCGGGCUGCAGGGGGAAAUGCUGCUGUUGAUGGGUCUACUGGUCUUCAGUUGGUUGACUGCGAGGCUGUUGGCUUCUGCUUUGGUUAUAGGGUUGGGUGUGCAUUUCUGCUGGUUUGUCUGCUGGUGGUUAAAGGGCUUAAUGUGUUUUGGUGGGCAGGUUUAAAUCUUGGCUACCUAAGCUCUACUGAUGUUUUGGGCAUGGUUUCAAUGGGAAAAAAGUUAUAUUUUGCUGGCUUAAUGUGUUUUGUUGCUGCUGAGUUUUUCUGGUUCUGCUUUGGGAGUGGCUGCAAAGUUUUAGGCAUGAGCUGGUUUGGGGUCGCUGUUUCGAGGGCUGCUGCUUAAGCCGUUUGCUUUCUGCUGGGUUGGGUACCAUGUGAACUUUUGUUCUGCAGGCUGUGUGGGGCAGAUGGGCAGUGUGCCGAUUUGCUGGUCUUGUGGGUCUGCUUUCAUUUUAGUUGUUGUUGUUGCAUUAACAGAUUCAAAGCCAAGUGUUGGUUGUUUAUUGUUAUUGUUUGUUCUUUGUUGAAUCUCGUAUGCUAGUUCUAGCUUGGUUUACUAUAGUCAUCAUAGGGCCUGUCCUAUGAUGGCUAUGGUAUACUGCUUGGGGUUUUGGCCCGUACACUCUGUACUUAUUUUUCCUUUUAUUCAGUCUAAAUUUAGCUACAACAAAAAAUAGUUUCGUUUGGCCGACAGGCCUGUAAUCUUUUAUAGUCAUGACAUCAUGGGGCAUGUCCUAUGAUGUCUAGGCUAUAUUCUUAUUGGGGAUUCCCAUGAUGUUUUGUAAUUUCUUUCUUUUUAAUACAGUUUAAAUUUAGCAAAAAAAAAGUACUCCAGAUAAGGUGUUCCCCUUUCUAUAUGUACUUUAUAUAUGUAUCCUGAACAUUAUGGAAAUCUCUUCCUCUUUCGAUUGGCAAAGAAGUAAUAAUAGUAAAGCGAUAAAAGAAGCCCACAUAACCCACCUCCCAGACCAAGGGAAGAAGUGCUCUCUAUAGCCUUUAUUUACUAUGUGUUAAGAAAGUGUGGGUAAAAAGGAUAUAAGCAGCAGUGGAAUCCAGUGGCAGGAUAGACACGAAAGCGGGAUUCAAUUACUUAUGAAAGUGAAGGGAUGAAAUCAAGAAAUUGAAUAGGAGAGGGACCCUAGUCUUUCGCCUUAGAAGUUCUUCUCCGCGCGAUCCAGUGUCGUUGCAGCCAAUGAUCAAACCAGUGAGUGUGCCAUUCCAGUGCAUGAAUUCCUUCUGCUCUUUCCGGUAAGUAAGUAGGGCCAGUCCCACACGAUUAGUAUAGAUAAGACAAGUCAGGUAGGAUUGGUCGAAGAAGGAUUGGACAUUUCCAUUGAUCAGCUCUUCCAAUCCAGUCUAUGAUCAGGCAAGGGGGCCUAAAAGUAGACGUAACUAUAGGCUUAAGCUCUUUUAAAUGAAAUUUAUCCUUAGGCCGAAUACCUAGUUGAGAGGGGUCCCUAAUGUGAGACCCUUCGUCCAUUCAUUCAGGAUCAAAAGCGGGCCUAAUUGAAUCAUCUCAUCGAGGAUUGUAUGUGAAAAGAUUGGAUCUUCGAAAUCCCCAAUCGUUCAUUAUUGAACCUAAAAACUCGCAACUUAUCAUGUAAAGUAGUGUUCUCACUAGCUGGAACGGAACUAUCAAAUGGAGGAACAAGUCAAGCGUAGGCCUUCUUUGAGUAUAGCUUCAAGUAGCUCUAAGAAGUUUACGUCUCGGUUCGGCACUCGGCUUUCUAAAGUUAUUCCAUUCCAGGGCGUGAAGCUUUCCAUGGAUAGGACAGGGUCCGUCAACUAGCUUAGCUACCGAUUGGGGGAUGCUUUCACCUUGAAGGUAUUAACGGGCUUGAGCCAGGCCACGCAAGCAAAUGAAAGAUUAAUUAUAGGCCAGUGAAAGAGAAAGAGAAAGAUUCGCUCUUGGGCUGACCUAUGGAUAACCACACAUCCAAAUAUGGGUAAGUCGAGAGCUUCUCUCUCUGCAGCAGCCUUCGAUCUAGUGUUCACGCUUUGGUUCUACUCUACUAGACAUCGGGGCCCAGAACAUGCUUCUUUUUGUGUGGUAUAGCUCCGAACUUCAGUGUCAGCAACUCUAUUCCUUCUGGUGGGCAGUAGUGUAGGGUGCCUGGUUUGCUUCCCGUCAGCCAUCCUGAACGUCCAUUACCUUUGAUUGAAAGCAAUCCGCUUCACGGACCCUAGUUUUAAGCAGCGCAGAACCUCUUUCAGGUGCUGAUACCACACGAACGGACUAAGUAACAGGAGCGGGUGUCGGUGCUGGCACUCGAGCUGGUGUAGGAAUCUGUCGCAACUGUAGUUGCAAUUUUGUCUUUAUCUAUCGAGCGUAUCGGUCCAUUCUGUAUUCCCGUUCUCUUAUAAAGAAUGGGUCUCUUCCCCUAGCCUCGUUGUCUCUAUAUCGAUCUCACAAGUUUCUCUGGUAUAGGCAAGGGCUCAUCUAUGAAUGAAUCCCUUUACUUUAUUCCUUUCCCAGAAGGUAAGGAACAAACCNNNNNNNNNNNNNNNNNNNNNNNNNNNNNNNNNNNNNNNNNNNNNNNNNNNNNNNNNNNNNNNNNNNNNNNNNNNNNNNNNNNNNNNNNNNNNNNNNNNNAUUCUGCAGAAGCUCUAAGUCUGAUUACAAAUGCUGAGAUUGAGGAUCACCCGUGAAGAGCUAUGCUUUAUGCGGGUACCAGAUUAAACAACUCACAGUGACCCCUUUUCACAGCAAGGCUACUUUUGAGCAGAGCCAACAAUGAUAGACCUAUCAUACAUUUGAUACUAACUACUGAAGGAAGCGGAUCGAUCGAACCUAUAGUUAGUCCUCUUUUGAUCGAUUUCUUUCUCUUGACUCUUGAGGAUCUUGAUCGGCUAGGCUCCUAUGUGUUCUUCUGAACAGUUCUAAAAAAAGGCUUGGCCUAUUUCCAAUUCUUUUUGCCUGAGAGAUUGUUUGUGGGGGCUCGUGUCCGUAUUUCUGUACUUGAAUUGCAUCCAACCUUCCUCUAUAUGCUCUUCUCUUAAUCCUUUAUUCUUGUUUUCUAAGCAGGGGUUGGAAGCUACUCUAGUACAUUCGCUGUCCUCUGGCAGCACAAUGCCAAUUCCGCCUUAAAGCCAGAAUCUAGUGGUGGUUUCUUACCCUUACAGAAUAGCUUAAUUAUGCGGGGGUGAAGGGGCCUUUCGCUCGGUCUUUAAAGCCAGGCUUUGCUCUUUCUUUAUUUUGUUCAGUGGCGAAGCUCAAAAAGAGCUAAAGGGGCGAAGAACCGCCAACUCCAACACGAGUUGAAUCUUCCUAGAAGAAGGUCGUUUGAAGCAAGGGAGAUGACUUCUUCUAAUUGGUUUGGGUUUCCUCUACGCCUUGCGAGAGCUCUAAUCUAGUAGCUAAGGCAAGGCACGCUUUAUGCUACAAUCUUUAUAUUAUGAUGUUGGAGAGGUGGGGUUGGAGUUCAUUUCCCUUUCCAGUCCAGAGGUGUUGGUUCCACUUCCAUACUCCAGUUUACAGUACAGAGGGCUAAUGGCAUAAGUUCGAGGAAAGGUGGAGAAAGGGUACUUUGCCAAUGACUGAGGCAGGUUGUCCGCUAUGUCUUACCGAUUCUCCGAAGACCAUACCUUAGUGCCAAAAUGAAUCUUGAGUUUUUCUUUUCGAAUCUCGAUUCGAAUAGGUUGGUCAGUGUCUUUGUUAGGUCAAGGGGCGGUUGCUUUCUCUUGCCUUCCUAGUUUUUUAUGGUAAGAAAACUACUUUUUCUUUUUAUACCGACUACUAUACCUAUUAGGAUAGGACUAGGAGCGAUAGCGAAGCCAAGCCGUAUAAACGUAUAAAGAUAAAGGCGAGCAACCCUUACAAUAGCAAACGGCCUACUUAUAGCCUUUUUCCCUUUUAUUGGGGAGGGCUUACAAAGCUCAUAAAAUGGCAAUUCUUGACGUUUUCUUCAAAUAGUGGGAGUGAAUUCUAUUACUUGAUUGACAUUGAUAGAUAUUUGUACCACAUAGAACAAGCAAUAUGUCGAUAUGCUUGAUGUACCAGCCAAGCCAGCUCGACCGUUUACAGUAAAAGGGAUUCGCCUUUGCCUCAGACAAAAGAAAAAUGGAUUGAACAGGACAGGCACCUAACAUCGGUUAUUCCUCCAACAAGUUCUUCUGUGCGCAGAGUGGAUAGAUUCAGUAUUCAUCUGCGAGGGGGUGGAAAGAAGGAUACAGAUGCUGCUUUUUAGAGAUCCCCUAUAGGAGUAGUGAAGCACUCUUCUGAUGAGUUGCCUUUGAGUAGUGUUUUUAAAAGGUAGCUUAUCCGAGUUCCGAGUUAGCUCUUGAGUUGGCUCUGCCGUGUCGUAAGCAACAUAUAUUCUGGUUAAUGUUACUUUCUUUCUUCCUUUUACCUGCCUGCCAACUCAUCCUUUGGUUGCCUGUCUAGUCACUCCUUUUUUUAGUAUUCGUUAUCUGGAGCAGGCCUACCGAAAGCCAAUGCUUGUCCUGCUGGAUUCAAAGCGGAUUUGGUCCCCGGACAGUUGGGGUUCAGAUUUUGUUCUUUCUGCAAAUCCUGAAUGAGUUGAAAUUCCUUUACUUUAUCGGUUACUUUCAAGUCGUUUUCCACCGCUUCCCGCACCUCCGCGAUUGGCUCCCCUUCAACAAGAGCGGCCUUUCUCUCCUGCAAAUUCUCUAGCAGGAGUUCCUCUUCCCGUUCUUGCAGGGCGGAAGGUUCUUUUGAUGACUUAGCGGAAGGUUGCCCCGGUUCCGCGGGUCCCGGUUGGGCCUCCGAGGAGGACGAAGAAUCGUAACCUUUUGCUUUUUCGUCCGCGGCGGGAGACUUGCUGUCGUCUUUUUCACAGGCGACCGAGGAAGGUGAAG
rnacentral:lncRNA from 1 species